rnacentral:rRNA from 1 species
UACGGAGGGUGCAAGCGUUAUCCGGAUUUACUGGGUUUAAAGGGUGCGUAGGCGGAUUAGUAAGUCAGUGGUGAAAGCCCAUCGCUUAACGGUGGAACUGCCAUUGAUACUGCUAGUCUUGAGUAUGGUUGAGGUGGGCGGAAUGUGUCAUGUAGCGGUGAAAUGCUUAGAUAUGACCCAGAACACCAAUUGCGAAGGCAGCUCGCUAAGCCAUAACUGACGCUGAUGCACGAAAGUGUGGGGAUCAAACAGG